rfam:Candidate division CPR2 bacterium GW2011_GWC2_39_10 TT18_C0009, whole genome shotgun sequence.
GGGGCGUUCGUUAAUUGGAUAAACGGCUACUCUCCAAAAGUAGUCCUGCCGGUUCGAGUCCGGCCGCCCC